UUUCUUGAAGAUCGGAAGUUGGGUUUGUAUCAAUUGUUGGGAAAUCACGAUUAAUGCAUGUCCAUCUUCAUUUUUCUCUUUAUAUCCAGCUACCAUGAGUAGCCAAAUCCCUUUCUUUUUGGGAUUGGAUGUAAGUUUGUCGUAAUAGUGUGUAUUUUUAUUGAUCAUGGCAUUGUAUACAAUCUCUUUAUGAAUCUAUAUCGAUGUUAUCC
rnacentral:lncRNA from 1 species